GGUCAAAGGAAGGUCUGAGGACCAGAGUGAAGACCUCAGGUAGAACAAACAGCACUCCUGGCUAAGCCCAAUUUGCAUAGGGCAGGCCCAGGUGGAGGAACAGACGUAUAAAAGGAGGAGCCAAGGUGCUUUCUCGCUCUUUCUCUCCUGCGUGCGUAUGCUCUUUCUCUCACUCUCUCCCUCACUCUCUCACUCUCUCCCUCCCCUGUGCACUCCUCCACUCUCUUCUAUUCGAGUCUUUGGGUUGGCAUGCCCUCACGCUUCGAGGAUGGAUUCUCCUGCUAUCUUCUACAUAAAAUAGAGCUGUAACACUGAUUUGCCUAAGAGCUAUAACACGGUUUGUCCAAGAGCCAAGAGCUGUGACGUGCCGAGAGCUUUAAUGUCCAUCGCUCCAAAUCUUUGUUGUGACGAGACAAAGAACUGAGGAACAUACACUUGCGCGACAUCUAUGGUGCCGUGACUCGGGUUUAGCCUGGCUGAAACAACCUCCGCAUGGAAGAGGCCAAGCACAACAGGACCCCAACUCAGCGAAGCUCCCACGCUAGAAGCGGAAGGCGAAGAAACCCAGCACAAAGGCCCAUCGUGCUGGAAACCAGGACAGUGAAAAAGGAACUCACCAGAAAGCUCAUGCGGCCCAGUCUGAUUCCAGAAGACCUCAGGUCAUCCAGAGGACCCAAGACAUGGUGGUUACUAGUGGACUUCCCACAGUAGUUCUUCAUUCCAUGUGGACUCCUUCAAGGGCAGUGAGCAUCACAGCUUCCCUUGAACUUCGUCUGGGUAAGUCUUGGCCUGUAUAAGAAAGUUUCAUGCCUGUCUACUCUGAAUUUCUUUUGUGGUAUUGACAUGGUUGUUUUGAAACAUAAUUUACUUUCCAGUAAUUUCAAAUGUAUGGAAAA